UACGUAGGGUGCGAGCGUUAAUCGGAAUUACUGGGCGUAAAGCGUGCGCAGGCGGUUUUGUAAGCCAGAUGUGAAAUCCCCGGGCUUAACCUGGGAAUGGCAUUUGGGACUGCAAGGCUUGGAGUGCGGCAGAGGAGACUGGAAUUCCGUGGUGUAGCGGUGGAAUGCGCAGAUAUCAGGAGGAACACCGGUGGCGAAGGCGGGUCUCUGGGCAGUAACUGACGCUGAGGCACGAAAGCGUGGGGAGCAAACAGG
rnacentral:rRNA from 1 species